rnacentral:lncRNA from 1 species
AGACAGCUGGGACCCGCGGGAUUUGAGGUGUGCGCUGGGAUCUUACGUGCGCAGAGGCCGGACCGCAGAGUCGAAAAAAUGUUUGAAUGGGAAUGGGAGAGGAGAGCAGAAAUGGGAAGGAAAAAGAAGAUUCCAGAGCAGUAACGUAACUAAACAUUCGCAGUCCACAAAUGACUGCAAAGCAAAUAACCAGAGUCCUGAUGAUUAACUGCCGUCAGUGGAACUGCCUGUUUUUCCUCAAGUGGAUCUUU